GUGUAUCAUCCCAGGUUCAUCUGUCGACUGGGUGAGCUUCAUAUAUGAGCCUACAGGCAAUAGGGAGGCCCAAGGAGAGAGAGAGACAUGGGGAAACAGCCAGUCUGUGGAGCGUCAGAACGUACGUCGACGUCGCACUGACAGAUUAAGUUUGUCGUCUUAUGUCAUCCAACUGUUCAUCUACACCAAGAGAAUGCUGUGUGGUCAUAAUCUUUCCUCCCUUGAAAUCCUGGGGCUUUUUCCCCUCUGGAGUCCUUCCCUGUACAAGCUUCCAAAGCAUGAACUUCCUUCCUGAAGCAUGAAAGAAAGCUCUUUGCUGAGUACAGCAAACCCACCAAGUUAAAUAAAAC
rnacentral:lncRNA from 10 species